GUCCUAGCCAUAAACGAUGUAGACCAGAUGUGGGGGGUAUCGACCCCUCCGCGUCGACGCUAACGCAUUAAGUCUACCGCCUGGGGAGUACGGCCGCAAGGUUGAACUCAAAGGAAUUGACGGGGACCCGCACAAGCGGUGGAGUAUGUGGUUUAAUUCGACGCAACGCGAAAACCUUACCUAGGCUCGAACGACUAGAAGUAGAAUUUACGAAAGUAGAGACGACCUGUAAAGUCAGGAACUAGCCGAGGUGCUGCAUGGUUGUCGU
rnacentral:rRNA from 1 species